GUUCAUCGAGUCUAGUUUGUAAUGCAACAAACCGCUCGUCAAAAUGAUAUCGGGAUAAGGAGAUAUGGACGAUGCAAGUUGGGCUGGCAGGGCCGCAAGUUUGGACCCGACCCAAACACUCACAUUUCGGCCCAUGAGGCCCAUUAAACUCAAUAGAUAAGUCACCACUUUGCCUUAUAUCAUUUCACACGACCUAAAACAGAUCCAAAACCCUUAUUUUCUCUCCCAAACCCCCUUUCUAAUUGAGCCAUCAUAUAAGCUAAAUCCUAGACCCUUGACAUGAUAUUAGUUAAAGAGAAGUUGUAGCUUAAGUUUUUUUUUGUGUUGUUAAGCAAGCAGCUGGAAAGAGGAACAAGAUUCUUGAAGAUUCCGAUUGCUAAAGGUAAUUUCAACCUCCCACUCAUGUUAUCAAUUUGGAUUAAAGGUUUAAUAUGGUGUAUACGUGAAGGAAACGUUGAUAUACAAGCUAGAGAGAGAGAGAGCAUAAGCCAUGGCAUUCGGCCAUGGCUAGCAAAAUUGGAGCUCAAAUUUGUUGAUCCAAAAAUCAGAUUUUCUAGGUAUUUCAGCCCUUAGGAAGGUGAUAAUAACGUGGAGAAUUCAUUUGGAGCAACAAGAACAAGUAUUAGUGCAUUUCACAAAUUCUAGCUAAGUGGAAAAAGCCAACUUGUUAAGAUUGGUUAUUGGAGUUGCUAGGUUGGUUAUUGUGGUUGUUGCUGUUGAUUUUGAGCGAGUUAAAUUCUCGGGAUGGCCUAUUUACAGGGGAAGUGCUGCCGAAUUUUCUGUAGAAUUUAAUGUUAGUUUGGAAUGAAUGGCUUAAGUGCCUAUGUUUAAUAUUGGAUAUUCGUUGGCAUAUUUGUAGACCUUGGGGAGCCCGAGGCGUAGAUUGGAAUUUACUUUAGAUUGGCUAUCUUGGAGUGCGUACGAGCGUCGGGAGGGUGGCCACGUUCUGUUUGCCGAGUCCCUUGGCAGGGGCCGGAUUUGAUAUGACAUAUGUUUCUGUACACACUCCGCAUGUUUUGAAGAUAUGUAUUUGAUACUUUGGAUUUUCUACUCACUUUUUCUGUACGUUCUGUACCAGUUAUGAUUUUGGUUCUGUAAUUCAGGCUUUACAUAUUCAGUACAUAUUUCGUACUGACCCCCUUUCUUCGGGGGCUGCGUUUUCAUG